rnacentral:lncRNA from 1 species
CAGGCAGCAGGAGAUGGGUGGCCCUAGGAAUACAGAGACUCAGAUACAGUAAUUAGCCUCAAGGAACUCAAAUGCUAGUGGGGAGAAGGACAAGUAUAUAGAUGUAUGUGAAUCUGUGAUAAGUGCUAGAAUGCAGCCAUACCUAAGCCAGGAUAAAGGAGGAGUUGUGGGUCAGAUAAAAGCUUUGGGAGAAGAUGUGUCAGGCAAAUCUUAAAGGAGCAGAGAGACAUAGUCUGCUGAGGAAGAUAAAGUAGGUAUUCCAGGAAUUUGGAUUCAGGCUUUUUGCUACUUUGUGGCUGCUCAGAACUUGGAUAUGGGCCAAAGAACAAUUAUGAGGAAGGUUUUCUUGUUUUUUUUUUGGGAGAAGGUGGUCUCAUCCUGGAGGGAGCCACUUAAGAUAAUAGGAAUAUAUUUAGGUGUGACCUAUGCUAUUAAUUUAUAUUCUUGGGACUCUUUUCCUUGUUUGUAUAAAAAACUGAUUUUUUUUUGUUUAGUUCAUAAAAGACAGAACAAUUUUCAUAUGAUAUCAUUUGAUGUUAUUGUGGCAGUGAGGUAAAGUUGUGUUCAAAGAAUGACAAGGGGAUUUAUUUGAUGAAACAAUUGGAAAUAUAUAUUUUUUUGUCUUUUUGCCUUUUCUAGAGCCACACCCAUGGCAUAUGAGGUCCCCAGGCUAGGGGUCCUAUUGGAGCAGUAGCUGCUUGCCUAUGCCAAAGCCACAGCAAUGCGGGAUCCAAGCCGAGGCUGUGACCUCCAUCACAGCUCACAGCAACACUGAAUCCCUAACCCACUGAGCGAGGCCAGGGAUCAAACCCGCAACCUUAUGGUUCCUAGUCAGUUUCAUUAACCACUGAGCCAUUAUGGGAACUCCGAAACAAUUGGAAGUAUUAAUGACUAUUAUGCAUCAUUUAAUCCUUGUCUAAAUGAAACUGGGAUUAAAUCAUAGAUAAAAACUGGAUUCCCACACAAUUUCUACUUGAUUUUUCAAUCACAGGCAGUGGGAGGAAAUCCAAAACUUGGGUUAAAAUGCAAAAUACUCUAGAUUUUUUUGGAUGUAAUAUCUUUAUGGGCCAAAAAGAUCUCAAACAAUUUAUGGAAGAAGCAUGUUAUCAGGCAGUUGCCAGAGAGCUAUGCAUAAAACUAACUUUUAGAAGAUUUGUCCCUAACCUUUUACGUCAAAAAAAUGCUAAGAAUUACUUUUUUGGGUGACAGGAUCAGAAUUUGUUUUGACUAAAGCUAGUGUAAAUUUUAAUAUCCAAACAAGAUCAUGUACAAUAUCAAGUCUUUCUCUCCAUUAUUAGUGAGGAUUUAUAAAACAGCUUUGUCAAAAGCUUGGACAGAUUCUUUCUAUCAGACCAUAACAUAAAAUGCCAUUAAAUGUUAAAAACAUGCCAGUUGAGGGUUUAUCUUUGCAACAGAACCAGCAGUAAAGUGACAAAAAUGUGCCACUUCCAUUCCCUAUAAUCUGUGGAGUUAACAGCAGAUUAACGGUAGGAAAGAAAUUCCGUAUCUUUAUAUGCAAAUUGUUCACUCAAACUUGAUGUCCUUCAUGGCUUUUGUGUAUCUGUGUCUGCAUAUUUACUAAUUAUAAGUCUAGGGAUAUAAUGAGUCAGUUGGAGAAGGCUCUUGAACGCAAUCUGGACAAAGAACUCCAGACUUCAGAGGGCUUAUUAGCUUCAGAGGGAAAUUUGGACUGAAACUUUAAAGUGACAACUAAGAAAUAGUAGCUUGGGUCAAAACCUCUAAGAAAUAUAGACCAGCUGUAUGUAGACUUUUGUGUUCUUCUGUAAAUUGAAUGCGCUUGUCUGCAUUACCUCACCUUAAGUCUAGUUUAUAGGGCUAUGGCUGAGGUAACAAAUGAAUGUGGUCUCUAAAAUGUUGGGAAAACCCAGGGCAAGGAAGGGUAUAGUAAUUCCUGUGGAAGGGGGAACUGUACUUUAAUACAGGGCUGUGGCUUCCUGGUGUCACCUUUGUGUGACUUUUUAAAAGAUAUCCCCUCUGGGCAGGGCAGAUCUUCGGAGAGCAGAGUGCAAGCUGCAUUUCAGCCCUUUUGCAUCUCCUCAACCAGGCACCACUUGAGUGGUCUGCGUUUUAACAGAGGCCCAUGAAGAGAGGCCUCCAUAGUAGCUGUGGAAAGCACUUGCUCUAGACUCUCAAGUUCUUAAUAUAAGGCACGUCUGCCUUUUCCUCUAUUUUAUCUUGUGUCUAGUACAAAGCCCAGCUCAAUAAAUAUUUGAUCUAUAACUGCAAUUGAUUAGCUCACAAAUAGGUGAGCCUAUAGGUUAAAAGAAUUGUUACUUGACUCUAUCUUCCCAAUAUAUUUAAGUAAUGGGGAUGCUUCAGUUGUGAUAAAGCAAUUGAAAUUUCUCUUUAAGUCUAGACCUACUAUUUUACUGAUUGGCCAUUAUGGUAAAAUGUCCCUCAUUGACAUGUGUGACUUGCUAGCCAACUGCUUCCUUUUUCAGAAGAGGCUAUAUUAAGUACUUCAGUCUGUUCUUAAUCAUUGUACAGCUAAAUCACUACAGAGGCAAAUGAAUAUUCAUCAAAAUUUCAAAGAGACAACAAACUGAAGAAACCGGAGGGUAAAUGAGAAACAGAGAGGCAAAGAGGAGAAGGAAUAUCGGCAGAAAUAGUGAAUUGGAGGUAACUGGCUCAAUAAUGACUCUUUGCUUCUCAUGGUCUUUUCCUUUCUGUCCCCAGGAGAAUAUCUUUUCUGAGCAGGCAUAAAGCUUUCUCUUAUUUUCAGCAAAGAUGUUCUCUGCUAGCUCAGUACCUGGGUCAUCAGAACAGACACUUGUUUGAUAAAACAGGGCUCUUCUGUUUGGAUAGAUUACAUUAACUAUAAACAUAUGCUACUUUUGAAGAAUUUCCUAAAUAUAGCCUAAAUCAUCUUUCUUUUGAACAUUUUUUACUUUGCAUUCAAACUGGAUUCAGGUUUCAUGCCAAAAUAUAUCUUGUAAUUACUUUAUUACCAGAAACUAGAGGAAGCAUUCUUACUUUAGAACCAUGUAUCCAUAGUAGCUGUGGAAAGCACUUGCAAUGUUUUGACUCCAUGGGUGAGUCAAAUGAGCAAGAAAUUUCAUGCCUAGUUUCCUUCUCCUUCACCACUGAAUCAGAAACUAUUCAUUUUGUCAUUGAGACAGAAGUGAAAUACUAGAAAGGUUUUCAGUUUCUUUGGUAAUCCACAUGUUUUUAAGAAAUUUCUAACCACUGACUUCUGAAUUUGGUCCUUCUGACAGUUAUAAGUCCAUAUGGCAACCGGACAGGAGUUUGAAUUUGGUAAAUUUCAUCAUGUGAAAUACUUUUUCAUGAGGCUCUGAAUUGGAAUCUUUACAAUUUACAUGAUGGUGGUGGGGGCAAGGGGAUGUGAGACAAAGAAGGCCAAGAAAGCUUUCAAAGCUGCUUUAAACUAUGGAAAAACUUCAUGAAAAGGGCAUAUAUUCAGCUUAACCUUAGAACAGAUAGUAUGUACUGCAGAGAAGAGGUAUGUAGAGAGCUGGUUAAUUUUUCUUAGCCAAAUAUUUUCUCAUUAUUGGAUGUGACCUCAAUAACAGAAGAGUUACAAAUUAAUGACUUAGUCUAUCAUUACUUUCAUUUCUUGGUGUGGGGCUAUAGAGAGGUGAUGCUGAGAGCUUGAGUGAAAGAAAUUGUGCCCAGAAACACUUGAGGGGGUAAGUGGCACAUAGCCUGGGAACCAUAUUUACUAAACCAGUGAAGGAAGGCUUAAUUCCCAUUUGGAUAAUAAGCAAUUUCUCUUCACAGUAGAGGGAAUUCCAGCAAACUGUAUUCAGGCAAAGAAAUAAAAAACACUUGGGGUGAGGCUGUUAAGUCUUUAGCUCUAACAUUUGAGAUUUAAUAAAUAACAACUCUUGCCUAUUUCCUAUAGGAAAGUACCAUGCUAACUAGCUUACAUCAGCAUGGAUGCUUGUCCUCAUUAGCUUUAGGGUUGUCAAGAUUGUGACUUAAAAAAUUUCACCCUUCACCCUGAUGUGAAAGUCUGUGUACUCAUAGUUACAGAGAGCAAAGGAAAGCAUUUAUUUUCAAAAAACUUUAAGUGAUUGGAAUAUUGGAUUCAGUAUUUUUCUUUUGAACUUUGUCUUUUCUUCUGAAUGUCUAACUAGAUACAGAAAAUAAAGAAUAAGAGAAGUCUGAAUGAACUUUACCUGAGACGAAAGUGGUAAAGUUAAGUAUUAGUUUAGAAAAAGAGAGUUAGAAACUGAAAAAAAAAAAAUUAAGGGAAAGAACAAAGACAACUGGAUUUUAAACAUGUAUUUUAUUAUUUUUAAUUAAAUCAAUCACAAAAAAUCAACUUUGCUCUCAAACCUUAAAAAUCCACCUACAUUUAGAAAAAAUUGGUUUAAAAAUAUGUGUAACUAUUAUUUUCCUUUACUGUCAGGACUCUCAGAGGAUGCUUAAUAAUAAAUAUCAGAAAAUAAGUAUCAUUAAAAUAUUUCUGAGAUUUUGCCUUAGCUUUGUGUGUACAGUAUAAAGACAUUAGCCCAGAGAACUCUACCCAAUAUUCUGUGAUAAAGUAUAUGGGAAAGAAUGUGAAAGAGAAUGGAUGUGUGAAUGUAUAACUAAAUCACUUUAUUGUACAGCAGAAAUUAUCACAACUUUGUAAAUCAACUGUACUUCAGUACAACUUAAAAAAAAAGAAAAAAAUAUUAGUGGAGUUCCCAUUUGGCUUAGUGGGUUAAAGAUCCAGCUUCGUCACUGCAGUUCCUGGGGUCGCUGCUAUAAUGCGGGUUUGAUGCCUGGCCUGGGAACUUUUGCAUGUAAUGGGUGUGGCCAAAAAAAGAGAUAUUAUUAGCAAAAUUUUUUUCUGCUUUUGAUGCUUUCUCCAUUUAGGAAAAAUUUGUUAAUUAUGUCCUCUACAAGAUACAAAUCAGUAAUUAUGUUUGGAGAAGUUUUUUCCUGGAAGCAAGAAGCAUGACUAAAUACCCCUAAGAUCAUAAACAUAAAUUCUUGACAAUAAUAUAAUAGAAUAUACAAAUCCAGGAUGCUAGGAGCAGGAUAGGAAGAGGAAUAUAUGUGGGAACAUGCCAGGGUGCUAAGCUGUAUAUAAGACUAAUAAAACAAUAGCAAAUAUGAUUUGGUAGUGCAUGCUCCAAUAACUGCAGGGCUGAAAAGCAGUUUGAAACAUUGCCUAAUGAUGAAAAAUUUCAUUAAGAGGUGAGCUUUGUUGAUUACAAAUUAAAUGUUAUACCAUUCUGCAAACUUAGCUGGG